rnacentral:tRNA from 1 species
UGGCGUGUAGCCAAGUGGUUAAGGCAAUAGACUUUGACUCUAUGAACGGUGGUUCGAAUCCCCCUACGCCAGCCA